GCCUUAAUGGUGAUUUCUGUUCUCUGCAGCUGACGGAGGAGCUGAGGAAAAAGGAUGAGAGUUUGCAGCAGCUCCAGGCAGAAAAAGAUGCGCUGAGCAACGCCCGAAGGGCAGAGGCAGAGGAGGAAAUUCGGGAGCUGCAGGAGCAGAAGAGGCGGCUACAGCAGGAGCUGGAGGCUGCGGCACAGGUGGAGAGGGGGCUGCGGGAGCAGAGCGAGAGUCUCAGCCGGGAGCUGCAGGAGGCCCAGAGCCGACGCGACGCCCUUGAGGCUCAGCUCCAGGAGCACUCCCAGGAGCAGGAGGAGCUGCGGCAGCGCCUGGCGGCGGCCGAGGACUCACAGGGGGACACGGAGCAGCGCCUGCGGCAGGCGCAGGAGCUGCUGGAGCUGCAGGCGCAGGAGCACAUGGCGGCCGCCCGCGCCCACCGGGAGCAGCACCGCGCCGAGCUGGAGGGCCGCGUUGGGGAGCUGCGGGCGUUGCUGGGGGACGCGGAGCGGCAGCGGGAGCUGCAGGAGGCGGAGGGCCGGGCGCUGCGCCAGGAACUGAAAGACGUCCGGGACGGGCAGCGUAUCCUGGAGAAGAAGGGCAGCGCCGCGGUGAGCCCCAGGGCUGGGUGUGGGGGAGGUGUGGGGCACGGGGGGGGUGACAGCCUGCCCCAUUGUGCCCCAUUGUGCCCCAUUGUGCCCCAUUGUGCCCCAUUGUGCCCCAUUGUGCCCCAUUGUGCCCCAUUGUGCCCCAUUGUGCCC
rnacentral:lncRNA from 1 species